CCAUUGUCAAGGGAAACCGUGUUGAGAUGGGGAAAUGCUAAUCCCUUCCUCAUGUCAAUGAUCUCCUUCUUAACGAGAAAUCGAAGGUUGGAGCACUGAAGAAGAAACUUCAGCUCUCGAUCUAUCGACCGUUCAUGCUUCAGCUCAAGAUGAUUUUUGGUGUGUGAUAUGGUUGUUAAAGUCCCACAUCGACCAACCAAAACCUUGCGAUUCCGUGGGUCGGCCAUAAACAGUUCAACUCGUCAAUCAUUUGGUUCCUCGCCGUUGUAGAUGACUGCUCGUUUUCAAAUUAGCGACCAGCCUGGAUAGGGAAAAUCCAGAUAAAAAUGGUGCAAUGCUUGACUUGGAGAAUGUGUUGUACUCACCACUGAUCAUUCACUAAAACUAAACCUAUUUGGACCCCAUAAAUCUGCAGGACAUGACUAUGUCGGAGAUGGAGAUGAAACAAGUUGCAGUUGGCACUGGCAAUGUAAUUCCAAUAAGAAGAGGGGUUUAGGAACUCAUGAAUGCAUGCUCCAAAGGUUCAACCACACUGGGAAGUAUUUGGAUUCAGGUGCCUUGAAGAUAUCUAAGAAUUCAUCACUGGCUGAAGGAAUCCAUGACAGUGAAACAGUUCAAGAAAGUUUUUGCUUGAACUGCAGGAAUUGCAUUCUGUAGUGUGUAAGACAAGUGCUCCUCUCAAGACUGAAAGCUUCUUGCAUUGGCAAGUCAUUUGUGUAGAAGAUCAUCAAGUACUACUCAUCCAGAUUCUCUUGAAUAAAAUUCUAGUAAUAUUAGUGUC